rnacentral:miRNA from 1 species
UCGGAUGCGAAACGGUGGUGU